CUACGGGUUGCUCCAGUGGGGAAUUUUGGACAAUGGGCGCAAGCCUGAUCCAGCAAUGCCGCGUGCAGGAAGAAGGCCUUCGGGUUGUAAACUGCUUUUGUACGGAGCGAAAAGGCUCUCUCUAAUACAGGGGGCUCAUGACGGUACCGUAAGAAUAAGCACCGGCUAACUACGUGCCAGCAGCCGCGGUAAUACGUAGGGUGCGAGCGUUAAUCGGAAUUACUGGGCGUAAAGCGUGCGCAGGCGGUUUUGUAAGACAGGCGUGAAAUCCCCGGGCUCAACCUGGGAAUGGCGCUUGUGACUGCAAGGCUGGAGUGCGGCAGAGGGGGAUGGAAUUCCGCGUGUAGCAGUGAAAUGCGUAGAUAUGCGGAGGAACACCGAUGGCGAAGGCAAUCCCCUGGGCCUGCACUGACGCUCAUGCACGAAAGCGUGGGGAGCAAACAGGAUUAGAUACCCGUGUAGUC
rnacentral:rRNA from 1 species